GCUACUCUCUCAGAGUAACUGCCACUCCCAGAGACCAACUGCCACAGAAAAACCAUUAAAAUCUCCCCCAUACACUGUCAACAUUUGAAACUGACACUCUGUCUUAGAUCUGCUUCAAACUCUAAUUCUUUCUCAAGCCAGCUUCUUCACUUCUUAUCUCUAAACUAAUAUAACAAGACUUGAUUCCUAAUAUCAUCCUUAUAUACCAGAUAAGAUGUCUCAGUUUUUUUUUAUUUUUAUGGGCUAUUUAUAAUACCUUGUUGUAAAAUUUGUGUUAAUUAUUAGUCAUAGGCUAGAUGUAGGUCAAUGUUAAGUAAAAAUGAGUUUCUAAACUUUUUCAGUGUCAUCUGCUGGCCAUGUUUUCAUCAGAGGCUAGAGAAAAGAAUGAAGGUUUUUGUUUCUUCCCCAUCCUCAGCUGAUAGAUCUGAGAUGGACAAAGAGACACACACCUCAUCCAUCAGUCAUCCACAUCUCAAGAACCACCAUGUCUUCGGGAAACCCUCUCCCCCUCCCCCUAGCUCCAGAGUUAUAUCCUCACUGUUGUAAAGCCUAUAAAAACCCCAGAAUUUGUGUCCUCUGGGGACAGCUUUUCCAUCCAUGCUGUUCCCCCUAGGAGGCAACUUUCCACCCAUGUUGCCCUCCUGACCAGAUUCAACAUUACCUUCCAAA
rnacentral:lncRNA from 1 species